rnacentral:snRNA from 1 species
AGUAUCAUAGCCAAUGAGGUUUAUCCAAGGCACAAUUACUGCUAAUUGAAAACUUCUCUGAU